CGGCAUGCCUUACACAUGCAAGUCGAACGGCAGCGACGGGAGCAAUCCUGGUGGCGAGUGGCGAACGGGUGAGUAAUGUAUCGGAACGUACCUUCAGGUGGGGGAUAACGUAGACGAAAGUUACGCUAAUACCGCAUAUUCAGUGAGCAGGAAAGCAGGGGAUCGCAAGACCUUGCGCUGAUUGAGCGGCCGAUAUCAGAUUAGCUAGUUGGUGAGGUAAAGGCUCACCAAGGCGACGAUCUGUAGCGGGUCUGAGAGGAUGAUCCGCCACACUGGAACUGAGACACGGUCCAGACUCCUACGGGAGGCAGCAGUGGGGAAUUUUGGACAAUGGGCGCAAGCCUGAUCCAGCCAUGCCGCGUGAGUGAAGAAGGCCUUCGGGUUGUAAAGCUCUUUCAGCCGGGAAGAAAACGCAUGGGUUAAUACCCUGUGUGGAUGACGGUACCGGAAUAAGAAGCACCGGCUAACUACGUG
rnacentral:rRNA from 1 species